GAUGAAGAACGCAGCGAAAUGCGAUAAGUAAUGUGAAUUGCAGAAUUCCGUGAAUCAUCGAAUCUUUGAACGCACAUUGCGCCCCCUGGUAUUCCGGGGGGCAUGCCUGUCCGAGCGUCAUUGCUGCCCUCAAGCCCGGCUUGUGUGUUGGGUCUCGUCCCCCUUCCCGGGGGGACGGGCCCGAAAGGCAGCGGCGGCACCGUGUCCGGUCCUCGAGCGUAUGGGGCUUUGUCACCCGCUCUGUAGGCCCGGCCGGCGCUUGCCGAUCAACCAAAACUUUUUUCCAGGUUGACCUCGGAUCAGGUAGGGAUACCCGCUGAACUUAAGCAUAUCAAUAAGCGGAGGA
rnacentral:misc_RNA from 1 species